CUUCCACAGAUAGGAACCACACAGCUCACACAGGACCCUCACACAGAUAGGAACCACACAGCUCACACAGAUAGGACCCACACAGCUCACACAGGACCCUUACACAGAUAGGAACCACACAGGACCCUUACACAGAUAGGAACCACACAGCUCACACAGGGCCCUUACACAGAUAGGAACCACACAGCUCACACAGGGCCCUUACACAGAUAGGAACCACACAGCUCACACAGGACCCUUACACAGAUAGGAACCACACAGCUCACACAG